rnacentral:rRNA from 1 species
ACAAUGGGGGGUACAGAGGGCCGCUACCACGCGAGUGGAUGCCAAUCCCUAAAACCCCUCUCAGUUCGGACUGGAGUCUGCAACCCGACUCCACGAAGCUGGAUUCGCUAGUAAUCGCGCAUCAGCCACGGCGCGGUGAAUACGUUCCCGGGCCUUGUACACACCGCCCGUCAAGCCAUGGGAGCCGGGGGUACCUGAAGUGCGUAACCGCGAGGAUCGCCCUAGGGUAAAACUGGUGACUGGGGCUAAGUCGUAACAAGGUAUC